UACGGAGGAUGCGAGCGCUAUCCGGAUUUAUUGGGUUUAAAGGGUGCGUAGGCGGGCUUUUAAGUCAGCGGUAAAAAUUCGGGGCUCAACCCCGUCCGGCCGUUGAAACUGGGGGUCUUGAGUGGGCGAGAAGAAGGCGGAAUGCGUGGUGUAGCGGUGAAAUGCAUAGAUAUCACGCAGAACCCCGAUUGCGAAGGCAGCCUUCCGGCGCCCUACUGACGCUGAGGCACGAAAGUGCGGGGAUCGAACAGG
rnacentral:rRNA from 1 species